GGAGAAUAUACUCAAGAGUUAUAAAACAUGUUGUUGAGCUUUACCUUCAAAAUUCAGUUCUAAGAUUACCAGGGGCAGGAGAAAUGGCUCAGUAGUGGGUUUUGACUACUUGUCAUGUACAGGACACAAGUUUGGUUCUCAGCACUACAUUGGGUGCCUCAUAACUGCCUGUAACUCAGGAUCCAGAGGCUCUGAUGCCUCUGGUCUCCUCAGAACCUUUACUCAUGCUUCCAUACUUACAUACAGACACACAACUAAAAAAAAAAAUCUGGUUUUGAUAGAGAGAAAUUAUCAUACGUGAGGGUGAGAAUGACUCAGUGGGAACUUGCCACACAGUCAUGAGUUGAACUCAGAUCCUCACAAUUCAUGUAAAUGCUACAUGGUUAUAGUGGCGCACCUAUGAUCCCAGUACUUAGAAGGCAGAGAUUAGGGGUCCCAGGACAUGCUGGCUAUCUAGACUACUGAACCUGCAAUCUUCCCAGCGUGAGAUACUGUCUCAAUAUUUAAGGUGGAGAGUGAUCAGUAAGAUACACAACAUUAACUUCUGACAUUCAUAAAAUAGCACACAAAUGUGCAUGCACAUCUCCUACAUGCAUUGUAUGCAUGAGGACAUGCCCAUGUGCACAUACAGAGACAUUAAAUACACAUAUGAAGAAAAAAAUGUGCCAUGUGGGGCUGUUAGCUUUCUUUAGGUCCACAGUUCCAUAUAUGUACUCAGGGGCUGCUACAAUGUGACCAGCUGUUUCAAGGUCCUGUCACCAGGACAUUCCUGCCAUAAUGAACCCUUGAACUGAGAGCCAACAUAAGUCCUUCCUUCCUUAAGUUGCUUUUGUCAGGAUAUUUUAUCAUGGUGACAGAUUAAGUCACUAAUGCACAGGUGGUAAAGGAAUGUAACACAGGCGAUGAAGAAAUGUAACACAGGUGGUGAAGGAAUGUAACACAGGUGAUGAAGAAAUGUAACACAGGUGAUGAAGAAAUAUAACACAGGUGAUGAAGAAAUGUAACAGGUGAUGAAGGAAUGUAACAUAGGUGAUGAAAGAAUAUAACACAGAUGGUAAAGGAAAGUAUGGGGGGACAAAGGUGGACCUGUAAUGUCACUCACUUGGCCCUCUUUCCUUUCCUAGUGGAUAUCUCCAGAGUUGGGGAGAGUGCCUGUUAUAUGACAUGUGUCCCCAGAACUCUGUCUUCCACAAGAAUAUGUAGUUCCAAUUGAAUAAAGCAGGCUGCAGCUUUUUCCCCACGGCCCUUGAAGUGGGACAGGCUCAUCUAUCACCCAUCUGUGGGGUGUUUAGAAUAUGUGGGCCACUGGUGGAGCUGGUCCAGGGCAUUGUCAAAAUGCUCUUUGGUUUGGUGUGAAUUUUACAUUGGUUUUUAUAUUAUUUAAUAGGUUCAAAUACUUUUCUUGCUUUCAGAAGUUUUGAUAUUGAAAACAGGUGGCUUGCUUUUGAAAUGUUCAACCUUCCCAUAGUGGCAGGGAUAAAAAGGAAACUUACGAAGGGAGGUAUCUAUAAAGCUGGUUUUCCAAAUACUUGCUGUGUUUCCAUCAGAUGGCACACAAACUCCAAGGGCACCUAUGCAUUCAUUCUCAAUUUUGUAGAGGACAGUGGACCACUAAAAGGACUACCUUGAGCCUGCUUGUCACCAUGCAUCAGGCUCAACCCACUUAUUCUUACAUUUUCCCUAUCAUACUUGUUAUCCUGAAGUGCACAGAGAAGGCAGGCAUAACAACUCCAUCCACACAGAAUGCACAGGAGUUUUGACCUCCAAGCCCUGGAUGAUCUUCUGGUUUCUGAGCAGAGUCCUCCCAGGGAGCUCUAGGGUAUGUCUGGAAAUUGUUGGAAGGACUCUAGAAGAGAGGCAAAAUAAUUUUCCACAGGGAAAGUGCACUUCCUGGGCAGUGCAGGCCAGUAAUGGCUUAGUAGCCAAGCACAUCAGCUUGUGUGUGACGGAGCACUUGCUUGUGCUGGUCGUGGCCUGCUGCUAAUGCUGGUAGGGGCUGUGGGUGCUCUGGCAGUAUGGUAAUGCAGCCCAUGGCAGCAGCGAGGCUGAGGUAUGACUGGAGGCCAGCUCAGCUGCCUGUAUAUUCUUUGAGUUAGUUGGAGCUUCUCAUGGACAACACGGUAUAAAGUUGGGGAGCUGUAGUCUGAGUGACAAUCAGAGGGCUUCCUACCUCAAGUCUACUUCUACCAAGAGCCUUGGAAGUUUUCUUGUUUGCUGGAAGCUACCUGUAGUAGAGCUAAUUUAGCCCUGUGCCACCAGCACUGUAGAAUCCUAAUCAAAGAUGGGGUUGAAAGUCACUGUGAGACACAGAGCCCCAGGAAAGUUGGGAAGCCUCCCUGUCUCUUUAUACCUGGAUUCUCAUAUCUGCCUCCUUUUCAAACCUCAGCUGCCUCAAUCUGCAUCAUUAUCCCUACUUACUUAAUAUGAUGUUGUCAAACCUACAUCAUGGCAUUGGCUCCUCACUUCAGGUUUCCCAUGCCUGUACCCACACAUCUGCAUCCUUAUUCCAGCCUCUUUGCACCUGUGUCUACCAUCCCCCAGCCUCUUCAUGCUUCAUUUCCACUACAGCCACUUCACUCUAAUCUCCUAACCCUGUACCUGCACCUGCAUAUAUAUAUUUGCAACAUAUAUUCUCUGUAUCAUGCUCACACCUGUUUUAUUAUGGUUUCUGGUACUUGGGUCUGUGAAAUACGCAAUGUUAACUUGGAUAAUUGGGCUACAGACACUGUACUGUUUAACUGAAAUGAAAACUAUGUUCUAGCUGGGCAUGGAGGGACACUUCUUUAAUACCAGCACUCAGAAGGCAGAGGCAGGUGGGUCUCUGUGAGUUCAAGGCCAGCCUGGUCUACAUAGUGAGUUCUGGGAUAGCCAGAGCUACAUACAUACCCUGUCUUACAAACAAACAAACAAACAAACAAACAAACACACACAUAAACAAAUAAAUAAAUGUAUAGUCCAACAAUAAGACUGCAGGUAGCAUUUGCAAGCAUGGUGUGGCAUGUAGGAUGAGUAAUGGGCACAAAUUGAUAAGAGGUAAUGCACAGCACAGGAUGGACCCUUGAGUGAUUGUCUUACUUCUCAGCCUAGAGAUCUCAACAUACUGUGCUUGUAUUAGAGGCCAAGAAAGAUGGGAAGGCCUUACUUUAUUCUCAAAUGCAUGAACCAAAUGCCCGAUUCUUCAUGCUCUAGGAGGGCUUCCUGAAAUUAGGAUUUUGAAACUGCAGUUCCAAGCAAGUGUGAACAGUUACUUCUGGAAGCUCUGUUUUUCCAGCCUGUGUUGGAAGUUGGUGGGUAGAUGCAAUGGAAUGUUGUCCUUGGAGAUUCGAGACUUCAGAUGAAUUAACUGUUGGGAUUUUUGCAAAGACAUUAUCGUUACAUCUUAACUAAUUGUGGUAAUUUAUAUUUUAAAGCAGUAUAUAUUUUAAAAAUAGUUGUCCCCAGCUAGCAUGCUAGCUAGACGUGACUGAUUUGCCAGAUGAGGACAAUGAGAGGUGAUAGUCUCUCUUGGCAUAUAUUCCACAUCAUCAACAGCUUGAAGCUCUUUAAUAUAAGAAAUAUGGCUUCCUUGAUGGUUAUGCAAAUUUCUCACAAUCUUGAGUUAAAAAUACAGCAGAUGAGGAUAUAAGAGUAUACUGUCUUUAUUUUUAAUGUGCAUGCAUGUUUUGCCUGCAUGCAUAUCUGAGCCCUACACAAGUGCCCACAGAAGCCUGAAGAGUCUCUGGAACUGGAAUUGCAGAUGGUUGUAAUACAACAUGGGCUGAAGGUGGGGUGGGGGUGGGGGAGCGUUAAAGUCAAACCUAGGUCCUCUGGAAGAGCAGCAAGUACUCUUAACAAUUGAGCCAUCUCUCUAGUCUCAAGUAUACCAUCUUUGCAGAUAAAAUAUUUUCUUUAAAAUAUUUUAUCAGCAAACAUUUGAUAAAUUCAAAUUUUGAAAUAAUUUUAGAAGUAUAUCUGACAUGUCUAGAUUGUAGUGGUUUUGCGUGCUCUAAGGAUGGCCUCUCAAAUGGUUGACAGAGCUCUAUUAUGUAACCCAGCCUGGCUGUGCUUGCUAUGGGUCACCAGUGGAGGCAAGAGUUCUUGCUGACCAUUCCUCAGAUGUAUAAUGGCGUGGAGAAGGAGACAGCCCAGUGGAGAUCUACUGGAGUGUCAGAUUUCUGAGCACAGCUCUAGAUUGAUCUCUGCUCCUGCUUCUUGCUUCUUUCCUUCUACAGCCAGCCUUUCUCUUAAAGCAAUAAAGAUGAAGAUCAGCAUCCUCCUCCCUGUCUUGACACACAGGAAUCCUCAGGGUUAUGGAGACAGGGUACUUCAUGGAUGGGAGUAGUGGAAUCAGGACAAGCUGUGCCUAUCCACCUCUUCCUGUCUUCCCUUCUAGUUGAGAAGGUCUGUGGCUCUGUUGCAACUAGCCAGCUUGAGCUGUAUAUGGUCAAUGGUCAUGUCUUUGCAGCACAGAGACAUAGAUGAGGGUAUGGGUUGAUGUGCCAGUGACAUACUGGGGUUGGUAGUGGAUCAGUGAUGUGGGGGCCGGGUAGAUUAAGGCCUAACUCAUCAAAAGUAAGCUCUUAUUUUCUAAGUUGUGGCCUGGAAUAUGUUAAACAAACAAACAAACAAUAUUCUGUGUGUGUGUGUAGGUAUGUAUCUGUCUGUCUGUUUGCCUGUCCACCAACAUGUACAUGUACACACACAGGUAUUCAUAGAAGCUAAUAUCAACCUUGGUUGCAGUUUCUCAGAUGUUGUUACUGUUACUGUGGUUUUUUAGACAAGGUCUGUCUUUGGGAUCUGAUGUUCACCUUUUGGUGAACUUAGGCUUUGCUGGUUACUGAGCCCCAGGAAUCUACUUGGUUUUGCCUCCCUAGCACUAGGAUUACAGAAAGCACCAUGAUGCCUGGGUUUUCGCAUGGCUACUAGGGGUUGAACUCAGGCUUCACGUUACCGACUGAGAUAUUUCUCCAGCCAUGGACCAGGUCAUUUUUAAGUAGG
rnacentral:lncRNA from 1 species